UUACGGCCACAUCACGUUGAAACACGCGUUUCCGUACGAUCACCGAAGUUAAGCAACAUCGAGCCUGGUCAGUACCGAGAUGGGUGACAACUGGAGAAUACCAGAUGCUGUG